rnacentral:tRNA from 1 species
GCUCGUAUGGCCUAAUCGGACAGGGCAUCCGCCUACGAAGCGGGGGGUUGCAGGUUCAAGUCCUGCUUCGAGUG